GGUGAUCUACCCAUGUCCAGGAUGAAGGUAAGGUAAUACUUACUGGAGGUCCGAACCCACGCACGUUGAAAAGUGCGGGGAUGAGGUGUGGGUAGCGGAGAAAUUCCAAUCGAACUUGGAGAUAGCUGGUUCUCUCCGAAAUAGCUUUAGGGCUAGCCUCGAGGUAAAGAGUCAUGGAGGUAGAGCACUGUUUGGACUAGGGGCCCUUCUCGGGUUACCGAAUUCAGAUAAACUCCGAAUGCCAUGUACUUAUACUCGGGAGUCAGACUGCGAGUGAUAAGAUCCGUAGUCGAAAGGGAAACAGCCCAGACCACCAGUUAAGGUCCCCAAAUAUAUGUUAAGUGGAAAAGGAUGUGGGGUUGCUUAGACAACCAGGAUGUUGGCUUAGAAGCAGCCACCAUUGAAAGAGUGCGUAAUAGCUCACUGGUCGAGUGACCCCGCGCCGAAAAUGUACCGGGGCUAAACAUAUUACCGAAACUGUGGAUGAACCUCUUUAGAGGUUCGUGGUAGGAGAGCGUUCUAAGGGCGGUGAAGUCAGACCGGAAGGACUGGUGGAGCGCUUAGAAGUGAGAAUGCCGGUAUGAGUAGCGAAAGAAGGGUGAGAAUCCCUUCCACCGAAUAUCUAAGGUUUCCUGAGGAAGGCUCGUCCGCUCAGGGUUAGUCGGGACCUAAGCCGAGGCCGAUAGGCGUAGGCGAUGGACAACAGGUAGAGAUUCCUGUACCAGUGCUAAUUGUUUAACCGAUGGGGUGACACAGAAGGAUAGGGAAUCGCACGAAUGGAAAUGUGCGUCCAA
rnacentral:rRNA from 1 species